CUGUGGUGGAGCUGAGCUCCGUGGACGUGCAGUGGCAUCUGCCAUUGCUGCCUUCCUGGAGCUCAGGCCCUUGCAG
ensembl:miRNA